rnacentral:rRNA from 1 species
GACGUCAAGUCAGCAUGGCCUUUAUAUCCUGGGCUACACACACGCUACAAUGGGAAGGGACAAUAGGUUGCGAAGCCGCGAGGCGGAGCCAAUCCAGCAAAACUUCCCUCAGUUCAGAUUGCAGGCUGCAACUCGCCUGCAUGAAGUUGGAGUUGCUAGUAAACGCAGGUCAGCCAUACUGCGUUGAAUACGUUCCCGGGGCUU